AUUGUGGUGUGCCCGUUUGUCUGCCUGCAAUGAGAAAGUCACAAGGCCUUCAGCCCGGCGGCGCAGUGGCGUGGGGAGAGGACAGCAGCACACAAACCCGCCCGCUGUCUACUGCCACUCCGCGCUAACAACGGAGACUUGACUACAAAUGGCAAAAGCCCCAGUGGCAAAUGCUGAAAAUGACUGACGCCGGAGUGUGGAAGAAAGCCAGAAUCGCUGGAGAAAACCCACACAAGCGUGGGGAGAAUAUACAAAUUCCACAAGAGGGCUGGCGCCACGAUCCAAACUAAAAACUUCAAAAUGAUCUGAGGCAGACAUGUGGACUACUUGGUUACAUUUAUUUGACCAAUAAAUCACAAUGACAAAACGCAUGCAUAUGCAGAGUUGUUUUCCAUAAA